rfam:Hebeloma cylindrosporum h7 unplaced genomic scaffold scaffold_62, whole genome shotgun sequence.
AAGAGUGUAGUAUUAAUUGGCUAGUAUAACAAUCUCCAAAAUUGAAGGUAGGUGUUCGAGUCACCUCACUCUUG